GCUGUCGAAAUGUGAAGCAUGUAGAACGUGAAGUGCGUUCCUCAGCCACACGUCCAGCGCUCAGUAGUCAGGUGUGUCUCCUGUGCUGCCUUGGACAGUGCGGAGUAAACUGCUCCUGCCCCAGGAAGUUCUGGUGGUGCUGAGAGCACAGGACCCAGCCCUCACGGUCAGCAUGGGCGGUUUCCUCCCUGUCGUCACCACCUAUCUCCGGGUGACCAGGAGUUGCCUUCCUUGUGUCCCCAGAGGGCUCCAGCCCCUGGCGUCAGGGUCCUGUGGGCAUAGCUGGGGUGGCCCUCCUGCC
rnacentral:lncRNA from 1 species